GAUGAACGCUAGCUACAGGCUUAACACAUGCAAGUCGAGGGGAAACGAUAUUGGAAGCUUGCUUCUGAUAGGCGUCGACCGGCGCACGGGUGAGUAACGCGUAUCCAACCUUCCGUACACUCAGGGAUAGCCUUUCGAAAGAAAGAUUAAUACCUGAUGGUAUGAUGAGAUUGCAUGAUAGCAUCAUUAAAGAUUUAUCGGUGUACGAUGGGGAUGCGUUCCAUUAGGUAGUAGGCGGGGUAACGGCCUACCUAGCCGACGAUGGAUAGGGGUUCUGAGAGGAAGGUCCCCCCACAUUGGAACUGAGACACGGUCCAAACUCCUACGGGAGGCAGCAGUGAGGAAUAUUGGUCAAUGGACGAGAGUCUGAACCAGCCAAGUAGCGUGAAGGAUGAAGGUCCUACGGAUUGUAAACUUCUUUUAUAAGGGAAUAAACCCUCCCACGUGUGGGAGCUUGUAUGUACCUUAUGAAUAAGCAUCGGCUAACUCCGUGCCAGCAGCCG
rnacentral:rRNA from 1 species